AGCAGCCGCGGUAAUUCCAGCUCCAAUAGCGUAUAUUAAAGUUGUUGCAGUUAAAAAGCUCGUAGUUGAAUUUCGGGAUCGAAUUGUUGGUCGUGCUUCGGUACGCACUGGCAUUAUCGGUUUCUACCUUCUGAAGAACCGCGAUGUCAUUAAUUUGGUGUCGUGGGGAAUCAGGACUGUUGCUUUGAAAAAAUUAGAGUGUUUAAAGCAGGCUUACGCUUGAAUACAUUAGCAUGGAAUAAUGAAAUAGGACGUUUGAUUCUAUUUUGUUGGUUUCUAGGAUCGACGUAAUGAUUAAUAGGGAUAGUUGGGGGCAUUAGUAUUCAAUUGUCAGAGGUGAAAUUCUUGGAUUUAUUGAAGACUAACUACUGCGAAAGCAUUUGCCAAGGAUGUUUUCAUUAAUCAAGAACGAAAGUUAGGGGAUCGAAGACGAUCAGAUACCGUCGUAGUCUUAACCAUAAACUAUGCCGACUAGGGAUCGGAUGAUGUUAAUUUUAUAAUGACUC
rnacentral:rRNA from 1 species